rnacentral:tRNA from 1 species
GCGAGGCUGGCGGAACUGGCAGACGCGCUAGACUAAGGAUCUAGUGGGGCAACCCGUGGAGGUUCGAGUCCUCUGCCUCGCACCG